rnacentral:rRNA from 1 species
UCAAGCUACUAAGGGCGUACGGUGGAUGCCUUGGCGCAAGCAGGCGAUGAAGGACGUGGCCAACUGCGAAAAGCCUCGGGGAGUUGUAAGUAAGCUGUGAUCCGGGGAUGUCCGAAUGGGGAAACCCGAUCGGUGUGAACACCGAUCAUCGUCGGUUGAAUACAUAGGCCGACGAAGCAAACCCAGGGAAGUGAACCAUCUCAGUACCUGGAGGAGAAGAAAACAACCGUGAUUCCGCUAGUAGCGGCGAGCGAAAGCGGAUCAGCCCAAACCAGAUGACUCGUAAGGGAAGUCUGGGGUUGUAGGACCACAUCAUGGACCGUAGAGGUUAGUCGAACGGUUUGGAAAAUCCGACCAUAGAGGGUGACAGUCCUGUAGACGAAAACCGAAGCGGCCUAGUGGGAUCCUGAGUACCGCGGGACACGUGAAAUCCUGUGGGAAUCUGCCGGGACCAUCCGGUAAGGCUAAAUACUCGCUUGCGACCGAUAGUGAACUAGUACCGUGAGGGAAAGGUGAAAAGCACCCCUGCUAGGGGAGUGAAAUAGUAUCUGAAACCGUAUGCCUACAAGCAGUGGGAGGGCUAUGGUCCGUUUCGGCGGACAACGCCUGACCGCGUGCCUUUUGCAUAAUGAGCUGGCUAGUUAUUCUCAGUGGCUAGGUUAAGCAUAAGCGAGCCGCAGCGAAAGCGAGUCUGAAUAGGGCGUCGAGUCGCUGGGAAUAGACGCGAAGCGGAAUGAUCUACCCUUGGCCAGGGUGAAGUCUGUGUAACAACAGAUGGAGGCCCGAACCAGUGUCGGUUGAAAACGGCUUGGAUGAGCUGAGGGUAGGGGUGAAAGGCUAAUCAAAUUCCGUAAUAUCUCGUUCUCUCCGAAAUAGCUUUAGGGCUAGCCUCGCGUAUCUGCAGCGGUGGUAGAGCACUGGAUGGACUAGGGGGUUUCACAACUUACUGAAUCCAACCAAACUUCGAAUGCCGCUGACAUCGAGCGCGGGAGUCAGACUGUGGGGGCUAAGCUUCAUAGUCGAGAGGGAAACAACCCAGACCGCCGGCUAAGGUCCCGAAAUUGACGCUAAGUGGGUAAGGAAGUCGGAAGGCCCAGACAGCCAGGAGGUUGGCUUAGAAGCAGCCACCCUUUAAAGAAAGCGUAAUAGCUCACUGGUCAAGCCUUUCGGCGCCGAAAAUGUAUCGGGGCUCAAGCGUCGUACCGAAGCCGCGGAUCCAAAAUCCCUUCGGGGGUUUUGGAUGGUAGGAGAGCAUUCUGAGCUGGUUGAAGCCGGACUGGAAAGACCGGUAGACGGCUCCGAAGAGACUCUGCCAGCAUUAGUAGCGAUAAACCAGGUAAGAACCCUGGUCGCCGUAAGUCUAAGGUUUCCUGAGCAAGGUUAAUCCGCUCAGGGUUAGUCGGGACCUAAGGUGAGGCCGAAAGGCGUAGCUGAUGGACGCGCGGUUAAUAUUCCGCGACUACCUUUGAUUCGUUUGACGAUGGGGGGACGCAGGAGGCUAAGUGAGAGUAGUGAUGGAUAUCUACUUCGGUCGUCAUAAGGUGUCUUGGGCAGGUAAAUCCACCCAGGAGUUAUCACUGAAGACGGACGCGAUCGGGAAACCGAACAAAGUCACGACGCCACACUGCCAGGAAAAACCUCUAAGGAGAAUCAAGGUACCCGUACCGUAAACGGACACACGUAGACGAGAAGAGUAUUCUCAGGCGCUCGGGUGAUGGGUUGUUCAGGAACUCGGCAAAUUCGCCCCGUAACCUAGGGAGAAGGGGCGCCUCCUUCACAGGAGGCCGCAGUGAAAAGUUCCAGGCGACUGUUUAACAAAAACACAGGUCUCUGCUAAGUCGAAAACGACGUAUAGGGGCUGACGCCUGCCCGGUGCCGGAAGGUUAAGGGGAGCGGUUAAUUUCUUCGGAAAUGAAGCUGUGAACCGAAGCCCCGGUGAACGGCGGCCGUAACUAUAACGGUCCUAAGGUAGCGAAAUUCCUUGUCGGGUAAGUUCCGACCUGCACGAAUGGCGUAACGAUCUGGAAACUGUCUUAACAACCUGCCCGGCGAAGUUGUGGUCCCGGUGAAGACGCCGGGUGCCCGCCACAAGACGGAAAGACCCCGUGCACCUUUACUACAACUUACCAGUGAAUCGUGGUUCAGUUUGCGCAGAAUAGGUGGGAGGCUUUGAACCCGGGUUUUUGGACUCGGGGGAGCCAUCGGUGAGAUACCACCCUAGCUGUGUUGCGAUUCUAACCUGCUUCCCUGAUCGGGAAGAGGGACCCUGGUUGGUGGGUAGUUUGACUGGGGCGGUCGCCUCCCAAAAUGUAACGGAGGCGCGCGAAGCUCGGCUCAGACUGUUUGGAAAUCAGUCGUAGAGUGCAAUCGCAUAAGCCGAGUUGACUGCGAGACCUACAAGUCGAGCAGGUGCGAAAGCAGGCGAUAGUGAUCCGGCGGUUCCGCAUGGAAGGGCCGUCGCUCAACGGAUAAAAGGUACGCCGGGGAUAACAGGCUGAUCUGGGCCAAGAGUUCAUAUCGACGCCCGGGUUUGGCACCUCGAUGUCGGCUCAUCGCAUCCUGGGGGUGAAGAAGCUCCCAAGGGUUGGGCUGUUCGCCCAUUAAAGCGGUACGUGAGCUGGGUUCAGAACGUCGUGAGACAGUUCGGUCCCUAUCUGUGGUGGGCGUAGGAGAUUUGAGGGAACCUGUUCUUAGUACGAGAGGACCGGAACGGACGAACCUCUUGUGAUCCAGUUGUCACGCCAGUGGCAUAGCUGGGUAGCGAAGUUCGGUUGAGAUAAGCGCUGAAAGCAUAUAAGCGCGAAACUUAUCCCAAGAUGAGAUCUCCCAAGGGGAUAACCCCUAAGAAGGGCACUCGAAGACUACGAGUUUGAUAGGACGGAUGUGUAAGCGUGGUGACACGUUCAGCUAACCGUUACUAAUCGCCCGUUCGGCUUGACCAU